AUGGCUUCCCUCGCCUCCCCUCCCGCCCCCUCCCACUCGCCCACCACCGCCGCUCGCUACCUCCCCGCCCCGGCCGGCCGCGGCAGGCGCCCGGCGCCGCCGGCCGCUUCACCUAUCUUCUCCUCUGCUUCCACCCGAUUCACUCUGUCCCCGCGCGCCCCCUGCGGCGCCGCCCGACCGCGCCGGCGCGACACCGUGCGGGCAUGCUCUCAAGCUGGUGCAGCUGGGCCAGCUCCACUCUCAAAGACGCUAUCAGACCUAAAGGAUUCCUGCUGGAGAUUUUUGAGACCACACACAAUUCGUGGAACUGCUUUGGGAUCCACAGCCUUGGUUGCUAGAGCAUUAUUAGAGAAUCCCCAAUUGAUUGAUUGGCGCUUGGUAUUCAAAGCAUUCUAUGGGCUUGUAGCAUUAAUCUGCGGCAACGGUUACAUUGUUGGGAUUAAUCAGAUCUAUGACAUUGGAAUCGACAAGGUAAACAAACCAUAUUUACCUAUUGCUGCCGGUGAUCUCUCUGUUCAGUCAGCAUGGUUACUGGUCGUAGCAUUCGCAGUGGUGGGCUUCUCAAUUGUCGUUUCAAACUUUGGACCUUUCAUCACCUCUCUUUACUGCCUUGGUCUAUUUCUUGGCACUAUAUAUUCUGUUCCUCCAUUCAGACUGAAGAGAUAUCCAGUUGCUGCUUUUCUUAUCAUUGCAACGGUUCGCGGAUUCCUUCUCAACUUUGGGGUGUACUAUGCUACUAGAGCUGCAUUAGGUCUUACAUUCCAAUGGAGCUCGCCUGUUGCUUUCAUUACAUGCUUUGUGACAGUAUUUGCUCUGGUCAUUGCUAUAACCAAAGAUCUUCCGGAUGUUGAAGGAGACCGCAAAUUCCAAAUAUCAACUUUGGCGACAAAGCUUGGUGUCAGAAAUAUUGCCUUCCUUGGCUCUGGUUUAUUGCUGGCAAAUUAUGUUGCUGCUAUUGUAGUACCUUUUCUUAUUCCUCAGGCUUUCAGGAGCUUUGUAAUGGUGCCUUUUCAUGCUGCUCUUGCAGUUGCUUUAAUUUUUCAGACAUGGGUUCUGGAGCAAGCAAAGUACAGUAAGGAUGCUAUUUCACAGUACUACCGGUUCAUCUGGAACCUCUUCUACGCCGAAUACAUCUUCUUCCCGCUAAUAUAG
rnacentral:rRNA from 1 species